rnacentral:lncRNA from 1 species
AAGACCCUAAAUCCUAAACAGAGGCUGUGAUGAUUUUUAUUCUAAAGAUCAGAUUUCAAGCGAGCCCGUAUCUUGGCGAGGCGGGAUCAGUGUAUCUGUGAGAUGGAUUCUCAUUAGGCAACUGGUUUUCGCAGCCAUGGCAGGUUUUGCCGUUGAUUUCUCUCUGAUGAUAAAAGGCGAAUCAGAGCCUCAAGAUCUGCAAUUUUUUUCUUAUUUUCUUCCCUUUUUUUUCUGUGUUUAUAAAAUUAAUGUAAAUCUUUUUUUCUUUUCUCUUUUUAAACCGAUGAAAUGAUAUCAAAACACUUCUCUAGCCCUAGUUUGUUCCCUGC